rnacentral:rRNA from 1 species
UACGGAGGGUGCAAGCGUUAUCCGGAAUUACUGGGUUUAAAGGGUGCGUAGGCGGUUUAAUAAGUCAGAAGUGAAAAGUCAGAGCUUAACUGUGGCCUUGCUUUUGAUACUGUUAGACUUGAAAGGGGCUGAGGUCAGCGGAAUGUGACAUGUAGCGGUGAAAUGCAUAGAUAUGUCAUAGAACACCAAUUGCGAAGGCAGCUGGCUAGACCUACUUUGACGCUGAGGCACGAAAGCGUGGGGAGCGAACAGG